rnacentral:tRNA from 1 species
GGACCGUUAGCUCAAGUGGUAGAGCAACUGACUCUUAAUCAGUAGGUUGCAGGUUCGAGUCCCGCACGGUCCA